GUCCCGCCGAGGCGGCGACUGCGGCAGGAGGGAGGAGGUGUAGGACGCGCUGGUGGCUCUUCGCCGCUCCGCAUGGCAGCCUUAUCUCAGCUCAAAAUGAACUAUAUGCCCGGCACCGCCAGCCUCAUCGAGGACAUCGACAAAAAGCACUUGGUCCUGCUUCGAGAUGGAAGGACACUUAUAGGCUUUUUGAGAAGUAUUGACCAAUUUGCUAAUUUAGUGCUACAUCAGACUGUGGAGCGUAUUCAUGUGGGCAAAAAAUACGGUGAUAUUCCUCGAGGGAUUUUUGUGGUCAGAGGAGAAAAUGUGGUCCUACUAGGAGAAAUAGUAUCUUGUGGUCUUCUCCUCUCCCCCCUGAUGAGAAAAACACAUUUCAACCUUCAGGAAGGGGCUUUUGGUAAAGUUGCACAGUUACUGGUUAUAACAGCCUCAGUUCAGGGUUCUAGCCCUUCGGAUUGAAUCUUGAGCCUCUUACGCUAUUCUCAACAAAAAAGGAGCACAAACAAAAUGGUGUUUCAGUGGCUGAUACAUUUCCGUUACUCCUGCUGAUCCCCCAGAGUGAUGCCACUUUUCUGGUAUGAUGUUGACUGCAUGGUAAGAAAUUUGAGAUUGAAGAUGUGAGCAACUCCAAUCAUAAAGUAAGUGGUGGAACCAGGACUGAAGGUCUCCGAAUACAAAACCUGUGCUUUCUCCGCUCCAGUUCACAGCAUCCUCAGUACCAUCCCAACCAACCCAAAGGCAGGUGCUGUUGCCUAGUGCUCGCCUGCUCUGAGUGAGGGCCCAGACAAGUUCAAGGUUCCUCUCCUCAACUCUCAGGAAUCUGCAGAGGAAUUAAUCUUCCACCACAACUCACCAUUUCAUGGCUGAACAACCAAAGUCCCCGAGGACAGCCAGCUCUCAACCCUCACCCCUUCUCCAUGCUGUUGGCCACUUGUUCUUCCUGGGACACCCACACUCCAUCCUCUCUCUCAAACCAGGCUAGCUCCUUCUUACACCUCCCACACACAGCUCCUAUCACUUCCUCCCAGGAGCUGUCCAUGGCACUCCUCUCUCUCCCUGUGUAAUUAGGUGUUCCCUCCCUUGUGCUUCCAGAACCCCUCAUCUGCUCUACAACUUUUCAUAUUGGGUCAUAUGGUUCAUUUUCCUCAUAGCUGUAGAGACACAGUGGACACUCAAUAAAGGAUUGUUGAAUGAA